AUUUUUUCCAUCUUAUUGGCCCCUAUUGAAUUUCCUAAUAAUUAUAAAUGAUGGUGUUUGAAUAAAAAAUAAGAAGGCUUGUUUAUAUUUUAUGAUAUUAAUAUAUGUUUGUCUCCCCCUUUUCUCUCAUUGUAACAGAGGAAAAUGUAUUCAUACUUUCCGUAAUUUUAUUUUCCUGGUCAUAGGCCAUGGCAUCACAACAAUGGGUAGCUCCUCCCUAUCCCUAAUUAGACAGGAACUAAUUUAAAUAAGGGUAUAUAUAACCCCUCCUACCUCAGUCUGGUUUCCAGCAAUAUCCCAGGGUGGGUUCUCUGUGCUGCCAUGGCCUAUGACCAGGAAAAGAAAAUUACGGGAAGUAUGAAUAAAGUUUCCUCUUUCCUGGCCAUACCCAUGGCAGCACAACAAUGGGUAAUACCCAAGCAAUAAUCAAGAGAUGGAAAUAAAAUCGCAGACUCUAAAUUAUCAAAUGCAAGUGUAUUCACACACACAAAAUGUGACAGACUACCAGUAAUCAAACAUAUAACGGAGGCAGAAAGAACAGUUUUACCAAACUUAUCAAAUUGACCAGCCUUCAUGUCUAUUUGAUAAUGUCUAAUAAAAGUGUUGGUUGAAGACCAAGUGGCUGUUUUACAAAUCAGUUCUGGGGGCACUUUAGCAGCUGCUGCCCAGGAGGAAGAAAGGGACCUUGUGGAAUGGGCUUUAAGUCCUUCUGGUACCGGGACUCCUGAAGCCUUGAAAGCCUGGGUGAUAGCUGAUACAAUCUGUGAAGAAAUUACAAAGUUAUUUUGUUUAUUUUGCUUUUUCCAUUCGGUAGCUGUAACUACCAAACACAGACCACUCUCCUGGCUCAUUAUCCUCAAAGAGAACAGACGAUUAAGUGCUUUCCCUGCGUGGCCGCCGUUCGUACAGUCGAACGCCACGUGCAGGAGAAAACUGGGCCAUUUUGUUCGCACGAAAGGAGGCAGCAGGACUUGGUCAUCGAGUGUCUGGAACUAAAAUUGGACACUCUACUUCCCGAACACCGGUCAAACUGUACGAACGCCUGCUUCUUUUUCCCGAACAGCCAGGAGAGCGCUGUUCGGUAGUUUGGUUCCCACGAACCAGGGGAACAAUCGCUACUAUGAGCCAGGUGGUGCAGUUUGUGCAUUUGUGUUUUUUUUUUUUUUAAUUUGUUGAAAUAGACCAGCCACACAGCCUAAACUCAUGGAACUGUUUCUGGACAGGAGCCUCGUGUGCGGUCAGUCAAACGUGGACUUCCAUAAAAUGCAAAAAACCCUGAACUGAUCUGGGUGAAUUUUGGAUAUGUUGAUCACCAAGAUAAGGGCAUUUAUGGGGAUCUUGUAUGUUUUGGCUACUUUUCAAGCUUUGUGAAAAUUAUGUUUUUUUUCUGCCUGGAGAUGAUUAAGUUAUUACUUUAUCUGACUCAAUUAUCUCCAGGCAGAGAGGAGGGAAUUGCUUGUUUGUAUUGGGAGUGUCACAGUUUGUCACUGUAUUGUUAUUGGCUGUACGCUUUGUGUCCCUGUGUUAUGCUACUAGGGUUUUUAGAAUUGGAACUCGACUGCAGCUUGUAGAACUCCUUAAUUACAAUAGUGAAGAAACGGAGAAUCUUUAAAUUAUCAAUACUGUAGCUUUAAGAAAAGAGAGGCUUGCUGGCAAUUAGAGAAUCAAACAAAGUUUUAAUGAUUGUGAUAAACUUAAGUGAAAAGCAUAUAGGUAAUAAUUCAAUAAGAAGAAAUUGCUGGUUAGCAAACAAUACAAAGUUCAUCAAUAAGUAUUUCCUCCGAGAUGUAUUGAAGAAUAUUCUUUAGGUUGAUAGGAAUAAUCUUCAAUAGAAAUAGUAUGCUGGUAGCAGAGAAUAUUUGCAAAGCAAGAAACAGUUCAUAGUGGUUAAGCUUGAUGGGAGUUAUCCUCAGUAUAAUUAGUGUGUAUGCAGCAGAGAGGAUUUGAGCAAGCAGGAAACAGUUCAUUAAUAACUGAGAUUUCAGAUAAUAAAAUUGGAAGUUAUACUUAAGAUUUAUGUGAGUUGUCCUCCAAGAGAUCAGUAUUAGAGUCCACUUGUUAAAUGGUAAAGUGUCCGUUCUCCAGUAAUCCUCUAGUGGAUGAAGCAUAAUCCUUUUAUCUG
rnacentral:lncRNA from 1 species